AACAGGAAGCUCUGGCUCUGGUAGUUGCUUAAAAAUGCUGUCCACCCCUUACAUAAGAGAUACAGAGAUACAGGAAAUAGAGAGUUUAUUGGGGUUCAAAAUCCUAGGUGGUGUCACGCCAGAACUGGGAUCCGCAGAUGGUACAUGCUUUGGCUGUAGUUACCUGAAGUCCCCGGGUCAGAAAGGUCCUGUACAAGUCAUGCUUCUGCUGAACGCGAACGGUCUGCGACCUUCUACAGUGAGAAUGUGUGCACCCUGACCACAUGUCCUCCUGGCCAUACGGACUCAGCUGAAUUAUUCCAGGAGGUAUUACGGCCUGACUGCAGUGAUAAUGCCUGUUAUGCUGAAGCCAGUUUGCACAGAACUGAUGACCUCAUUUGUACAGAUGGUUAAAAAAAAAAGUACUUUGUGAUACUAGCCUUCAUAAAACUGAUGUCGGACCACAGUGAUCACUGGUGAAUCCGAUCAUAGCAAAAGAACUACAGAA